rnacentral:rRNA from 1 species
AUUGAACGCUGGCGGCAGGCUUAACACAUGCAAGUCGAGCGAGCGGCGGACGGGUGAGUAAUGUCUGGGAAACUGCCUGAUGGAGGGGGAUAACUACUGGAAACGGUAGCUAAUACCGCAUACCAUCAGAUGUGCCCAGAUGGGAUUAGCUAGUAGGUGGGGUAAUGGCUCACCUAGGCGACGAUCCCUCGCUGGUCUGAGAGGAUGACCAGCCACACUGGAACUGAGACACGGUCCAGACUCCUACGUGAGGCAGCAGUGGGGAAUAUUGCACAAUGGGCGCAAGCCUGAUGCAGCCAUGCCGCGUGUGUGAAGAAGGCCUUCGGGUUGUAAUGCACUGUCGGCGAGGAGGCGGUUCUCGCAGGAGAAGAACCAGCUAACUCCGUGCCAGCAGCCGCGGUAAUUC